CAAGACCAUUGAACUUAUGUUGCAUGCAUUUAUGAACUUUUAUAUAUUUUUAAAGUUCAUUGAAUAUAAGUAAUAUAGGUUUUUGAAAUUUCAAGUUGUCAACAAGGCUAACUGAUUGGACCAACCAAUUGUUUAAAAAAAAAUGUUUUUACAUGUCAGCACUUGGCUGAUUUUAUUAACUUGUUAGUAUUAUGCUCCCAAUUUUAUGUGUUAAAAUCUAACUGUACAAGCAACUUGAGGACUAAAAUUGUGCCUUUAUCCAGUCCUAAUUUAUUGUUCUUCCCUCAUAAAUUUUAUUUGCAGCUUCAAUGGUCUGAAAAAAGCAGUAAAUCAUAGUGAGGUGAGGUUUACAUAGUUUAGAUUGAGUUCCUUAUUUUUGCUUGAAAUUAAUCCAAUCAAUUCCUUCUGGUGUCAUCGUCAUGUGCUAAUAGUAGGUCUCAAAGCAAGAGAUCACUUGAGUCAAAAAGAUCUUCAUUCCUAAUCUACAGGAUAUCACUUAUGCAUGCUCAGGUCAUAAAUCCUUUACAUAAAAUACAGGGAAACAGAUGUAAUGUUUCUAAAAAUUAUUGAGAGUUCUGUAAAUAAAAAAAUACUUUCCUAUUUAUUUCUUGCCCCAGGUUGUUUACCUUAGAUCUUCAGGAAUAUGCUUCUAGCUUUUCUGAAGAAGCCUUCCAGAGGUUUCAAGGUCACUGUUAAAACACAGAUGUUUUAACUGUGGCUGGCAAAACACAGGGGCUCAUUAACUAUUUGUAAGACGUAAGAUGGAUCCAAACAUACCCUUCACAUUCUCAACAAUCUGGUUCAUAAUAAUAGGAAUUCCCUCUGUGGCUCAGCAGCUUAAGGAUCCAGCAUGGUCUCUGUGGCAGUGUGGGUUUGAUCCCCAGCCAGGUGCAGUGGGUUAAGGAUCCGGUGUUGCUGCAGCUAUGGUACUGGUUGCAGCUAUGGCUAGGAUUCAAUCCUUGGCCUGGGAACUUCAUAUGCCAUGGAUGCAGCAGUAAAUAAAUAAAUAAAACAUUUACUUUAGGACAAAAAUGCCUACCAAAAAAGCUAGAUUAUUUCCUUAGGAUCUUUAAAACAAAAACAAAAAUCUGAUCAAGUGAAGAAAAAAGACAUUCAUUAAAAUCACAGUCACCCUUUUCAUUUCUAUACCCACACAGAGAUACAUACACCACACUUACCAGAGGCUCUACUUUUAAAAAAACUAGUAUACACUGAAAUGUAGAAAGCAGAAUACUUAACAGAUCAUUUGGUACAUUUUUAGAACUCUGAAGAGUUGAGUUUUAUUUGUCAACAGUUUUGAACUGUAAAUUGUUUGUUUUUCAAAAAAAAAAAUUUUUUUUUGUCUUUUUAGGGCUGCACCUGUGGCAAUAUGGAGGUUCCCAGGCUAGGGGUUGAAUCAGAGCUACAACUGCCCAACUACACCACAAUCACAGCAAGCAACUCCAGAUCCAAGCCACAUCUAAAAUCCAGCUCACGGCAACUCGGGAUCCUUAACCUGCUGAGUGGGGCCAGGAAUCGAACCCACAACCUCAUGGUUCCUAGUCAGAUUCGUUUCCACUGCGCCAUGACGGGAACGCCUCAGAAUUCAUUUUUAAAAAUGACCUUUAGCUUUUUGAACUCUUGUCUGAAUAUCUAGAAUCAUCCCAAAACUAGCAGAUGUCUUCAAGAAAAAAAGAAAUGCUUGUGUAAAGUUGACUGUUUUAAACUUUAUUUCAAAUGAUCUGCUUUCAGUAUCUUGAAGAAAAACUUUCUAGAUUACUUUCUUUCUCUAAAUUUGUGUUUAACAGGAUCUAGAAUUCUUUGGCUAGCUUAGAAUCAUAAAAGCACUGGUUUUUACCCUGCUUGGACAUUUGCUCAUUUGAGUUUGGGUUCAUUCAUAUUUAGUUAUAUCCACUAAAAUUGCCCAUUCUUCUUUUGCCAUUGGGCAUUUUUUCAACCUUAACAAAACGAAGUCCAUAUUAUAGGCCUGCUGGCCAACAUUCCAGGUAAAUGAAUGGUUUUAAAGAAAAAUGGUGCUAUUUUUCAAAAGCCUGACAUUUUAAAAAUACAAGUCCAGAAUUGAAGCCUUCAAUAAUUUUUCCAUGCCUAUAUGCUGCAAGAAGCAAAUGGUUACACAAAUGAAUACAUCUGGGAUUAUUUUCAAGCUGUUAUUCCCCACCAGGGAAAAUAUUUAGAAAUAAGGCUCAGUCUUUGUGCUGGAACUACAAAGAGGCCAGCCAUCUUGAUGCUUUUCCAGAUCGUUUAAUGAUUUUCCUCAUAUUGUGUGGUGGCUUUACUGCCCUGUUUCGUAUGCCUUCCCGUUCAUCGUUGGUAACCAUUUAUGUUGGGUAUGUUCCAAUUUCCAAAUCUGUUUUGUGGCAUUUAUAGCUUGCAGCUAAUAAGGCCAUUCAGUAUUUUUUUAUACAUAUAAAAUAUUAAAAAAUAUACCAAGCUAGAAGAAUUGAUUUAAAAUUUAAAAGAGGCUUACUGAAGUAUGGAAUAACUUUACCUUUAAACUGUUAAGUAAGCGUGACUGAGGUUGAGAGGUGCCAUUCUGCUUCUAGAGUCCAGGAGAUGUGGUAUUAGAUGGGUGUGUUUUAUAUGCAUUUGUAGGUAUUAUAUGUAUACAUACAUAUAUAAUGCAAUAAGCAUGUAUGUAUUAUAUACAACACACACAUGUAUGAGUGCAAAAGGAGUGGUAAUUUUCAUAUAUGUUUCUUUGUACCUUUUUACUUUGUAAGACAGAGCCAUCAACAAAUAAACACAUGUAUAUGCUGGUCAUAUUUUCUUUCUUUCUUUUUUUUUUUUUCUGUCUUUUUAGGGCUGCACCUGCAGCAUAUGGGGGUUCCCAGGCUAAGUGUAGUCACUGGACUAUACCAGGGCUGCAGUAAAGUGGAUCUGAGCCAUGUCUGUGACAUAUACCACAGCUCAUGGCAAUGCCGGAUACUUACCCACUGAGCGAGGCCAGGGAUUGAACCUGUGUCCUCAUAGAUGCUAGUCGGGUUCGUUAACCACUGAGCCAAAGUGGGAACUCCUAUCCUGGUCAUAUUUUCAUUAGCAAGUUGGAUUAUAGAGUUUUUGAAUUUUUAGAGUAUUGCCUUCCUAUGACUUUAUAUCAAAUGACAAUUAUUUGGGAUUCAUAAGAUACAUAAGUAUUAUAUGUCUAAGAAACUAAAAUUUCCAGAAUUAACUCCAAAUUAAACCAUAAAAAAUAAAUAUAAUCAUUAAGGUAGUCUUUUUCUUAACAUACAUCCAAGGAGAUUAUGUUAAUCAUGCUUUUACUGUCCUUUUUCAAUUCAAUGUAAAUGUAAAUAUUUAACAUGUAUUGCCUAACUUCAAAUAUAUUAAAAUCCAUAAUUUACUCUGAUUUCUUAUAUUUAAAAUUUACAUUACUAAACUAAAAUUUUUCAUUUUUUUAAUUUACAAAUUAAAAGUGAUUCGAGAUUUUAAUUAUGAUCAAAGUCUAGAAUAAGAUAAAAAUCCUCUGAAAACACAGAUCAUUACCUUUUAAUAUCAUUGUGAAUUUUAAUUUCAAUGUCAUAAAAUCUUAUGCAGAUAAGGUUUUUUAGAGAAUAUAGGCUCUAAUGGUUUAAGAGUGUACAAGUCAUACAGAAUGUAUGAGUCAUACAGAAGGUAGGUUGGUUGAUAAUGAUGUAUGUCAUCCAUUUCCACAUUCAGAGUUCUGUGAAAGAGGACAUUCUCAAUAUAACCCCCAGGGGUAAGGCUGGGGGUUAUAUUGAGAACAAUUAGAGAUUGUCCUUUAAGUAACCUUUCAUUGAGAACAAUUUUUAUAUUAUUGAAUGAGACAAUAACAAUACCAAUUUUAGGAUAUGGGAGUUGAUGAAAAAGUGUAAUGUAAAGAUGUACAAAGAGAUUAACUUCUGUAAGAAUAAUUUGCAGGUCUUCCUAUCUUGAGCAUCACCUGAAUGAAUGGUGUGAUGGGUGUAAACAGGCAAUAUUUGAACUCUUAGAUAUUUAUUUUUUAACAAGAGUGGUAUCAAAUUGGUAGGUAUUUACAUUCAUUAGAUUAACUUUUUUUUCUUUUCACAGACGCACCUGUGGUAUAUGGAAGUUUCCCACCCAGGGGUCGAAUCAGCUGCAGCUGCAGGCCUACACCACAGCCACGGCAACAGCCAAUCUGAGCCACAUCUGUGACCUACGCUGCAGCUUGCAGCGGUGUCAGAUCCUUAACCACUGAGGGAGGCCAGGGACUGAACCUGCAGGGAAACAAUGCUGGGUCCUUAACAUGCUGCGUCACAAUAAGAUCUCCUUCUUAGAUUUUAAUUUGCUUUUUUGCAAAGAAGACAAUUUAGUUAAUUGCGCCGAGUCAAGCUUUAUGUUAAUAAUUUUUGUGGACAUCUAAAAACUUAGGUUUGUUCUGAAUUAAUAAUAACAUGUUCUUAUUUUUCUGAUUUUAAGAGUAAUCAUCAUUUGAAGCCAUUUGUCAAUAUGAGAACAGAAAUUUAGAGACUCUUACUCUUCAAACAUAACAAAGAUUGUAUGUGAAUAUGUAUAUAUAUAACAUAUACAUAUGUUAACAGAUUCAUGUAUAUUAUUCAGAUUUUUCACAUAAAAUAAACCAACAGUGUAUAUACUAAUAAUUAUUCAUUUACAGAAACUAGACAGAAUUUUAGGUCCUGUCCUGCAAUAUAUAGAGAUAUGCUCCAAUGUUUUUAAUAUUGCACUGUAUGCUCUUAAUAAAUAAAUCAUACAUUAACCAAUUUCUUACAGAUAAAAUAUUGUGGUUGUUUUCAAACUUUGGCUAUUAGAAACAAUUCUUCGUUGAGCAUUCUCAUAAACAGUUUUGCAUACUUGGGCUUAUAUAGCUAUUGUGUAAUUUUUGAAAAUAUUAUUGGCUCAAUGUGUAUGCACACUAUUCAACUUAUUGAUGUUAGCAAA
rnacentral:lncRNA from 1 species